rnacentral:tRNA from 1 species
GAGAAGGGAUAAGAAUCAAUAAGUACUGCUAAUCCUUAAGCCCCGGGGUUAAAUUCCCCGGCCUUCUUA